GUUAAGCCUGUCUCUAAGACACAGUGGAGAUGGAUUUCUCACUUCUGUUUUUGGUGGCCUUCUUUGUGUUGAUUGAAGGGUCCUAUGGAGAUAUCAUCAUGACUCAGUCUCCCUCAAGUCUCUCUGCAUGGCCAGGAGAAACUGUCAGCAUGAACUGUAAAGCCAGCAGCUCCAUUUACUAUAACAACUAUGAACGUCUUUAUUGGUUUCAGCAGAGAGCAGGAGAAGCUCCAAAACUCCUGAUUUGUUUAGCAAGCACUCUACAGUCUGGGAUCUCAAGUCGCUUCAGUGGCAGUGGCUCAGGACUUGAUUAUAUGCUGACCAUCAGUAACGUGCAGCCUGAAGAUGCAGCACAUUACUACUGUCAGCACGGCCGCAGUUAUCCUCUCACACAGUGA